rnacentral:lncRNA from 1 species
UUGUGAGCAACCAGGACAAAUGGUAUCUAGAUCACUUGGAUACUCGUUGGGAAGAGUUCUAUAAGAAUGAACCACUUACAAAUAUAACAAACCCCGAGCAACAGAGUUUAGUUCUUGGGGGGGAAGUAUGCAUGUGGGGAGAAACGGUGGAUGCGUCAAACAUUGAACAAACCAUAUGGCCACGUGCUGCAGCUGCUGCAGGUAUUUAUUGUAUAUCAUGUCAAUUGACAACGAAAUUGCUGAGACGUUGCAACAUAUUCAUAUUAAGUUAUCCAGUUUUCUUGUUUUCAAUACCAUGUAGUUGAUGGUCAUUGAAAAGGAUUGUGCAGUGACACAAACAAUAUUAUAAAUCUGAUUUCAUAUUAGCUUCCUAGUCACAUAAAUUGGUCACAAUCUUGGUGAAUUUACUACUGUUGAUCUUAAGGGUUCAUGAAACUAUACGCUUUGUGGAUGCUUCUGUGUAUUAAGAGAUCUGCCUUUCCAUCCCAAAGGUGGUUUUAGUUGAUACAUGGUUAUCACUGCUAACAUUCAUGGACCAAGGCAGGUGACUGGUAGUCUCAUUUGAAGAGGCACCAGAUGAUGCCUUGAGUGAUUUUUAGAGUUGACUAGUUUUGAUCUUUUUUAGAAUCCUCUUAAAGGUACUUCUUGAGAAACUUUUCCAUCAUUAUAGGAGAGAUAAAAACUUUAACUAUACAUCUUUCUUCCCUCUGUUUUUAAGCCCAGCAUGUCAAAUCUUCCAUUUUUUUGUUUCUGCUCUCUACUCAGCUUAAUCUUUCAUGCAAACUGUAUCUUCACUUCAAAAUAAUGAUUUUAUUCUCUCUGUUUUCUGUUCCUAUGUGAUUGAAGAGCGGCUAUGGACACCUUAUGACAAGCUAGCGAAGGAUCCAGAAAAAGUUGCUGGAAGGUUAGCGCACUUCAGGUGUUUGUUGAAUCAAAGAGGGGUUGCCGCAGCUCCUUUAGCUGGACCAGGCCGAGGAGCACCUAUAGAACCAGGUUCUUGUAAUGCACAGUAAUGAGUACAAACACAUCUCUAAUUCUUGAGGGUGAAAUGCAGUUGAUUCAAAAUCACCCCCGGAUGUAAGGAACACGUAAUAAUGCAUCCUGGAUAUAUUCAGGUGGCUUCUGGUUCGAUUUUUAUGAAAAUAGUCCAAAAUGGUCGCACAAGUUCUGCCCAACUAAGUCCCUUCGUUCUUGAAGUGUUUGUGGUUGAAUCGUAAAGGAGACUUGCAAGGGAUUUCGAGUGUUUAUGGUGAAGUUUUUUCUUUUCUUUUUUUCCUUUGGAUCUUAUGAUAUCUGACCCCAAAAAUCAUUAAUUUGAACAGUUGAAAUUUACCUUGAAAGAUUAGUUCAUAACUUACUCAAGGAUUGCGCUUGGAAUUUGUUUAAGAAAAAUAAAUAAAAAUCAAAUUUUAAUUAUUGAUUUUUACUCAGAUUUCAUUAAUGGAAGAAUUAUGAAAGGAGAAACUCGAAGCAUUUUUUUAUCAUAUUUUAACCGACAAUAUACCUUCAAGGUAUCUUGUCGAAAGUAAUUUAUGAAUUUUGGGAAUAAAUAAAGCAGCUUCAUACUCAAGGAAAAUAAGCUAUAUUCCCAAGGAAAAUCUCCCUCAAGUGGUUUCUUGGGUUUGAAGAACAGAGUUGAACUUAAAUCUUAUACUGGCAAGGAUUGAGAAUCUCCAAUGAACCCCGGAAAACUAUAAACUGUCCAAUGCAUUUGACACCCGACAAUUCCUGGACUAAUAAAAACUUUCCCAGUUUACCCGAAUUUCCAAAGAACACUAAAUCGUUUAGCCACCGAACAAAUUAAAGACCGUGACGGACCAAUCUUUUUAGUGAACAUAGAUUGAUUACAUGUCUUUCAAAUACUUAAUUUCCAUUUACUUAAUCUUUUUACUUAAUACAUGUAUAAUUAUGUUUUCAAACGCUCACUAAAUAUUAACGGAGAAGAUUGAAUUUUGAACUUCAAGAAUAAGAAUAGCAGGGAAAUCUACAAUUUAUAUUAGGAUUUUGCCUCCUAAAUGACACGAUAUUUAUUGCAAAGAUUUUUUUCUUCAAAUGGUGUCAUGUGAAUCUCAGCACAUUUAAUGUCAUAGCUAUAAUCAUCUAAUAAAAUGAUUUUUUUUUUUAAAAAUAGACAAGCAUGUUAUUUUUUAAAAAAUUAUUAUCUAAUCACCACUGUUUUAUAAAUAAAAAACAGUGAUAAUUAUUUUUCAAAGUAUUUUAAUUUUUAAAAUACAUUAAAAUAUUUUUUUAUUUUUUAAAAUUUAUUUUUGACACUAGCAUAUUAAAAUGAUAAAAAAAUCAUGUAAAAAAAUAUUUUUUUAAAAAAAUAACAUUUUUACAACAAAAACAAUCAAGGUAGAAGUAGAAAAAGUUAGAAAAAAAUGAUUUUUCUAAGAGUUCAUUUGUUUUUACAUUUUAAAAAUGUUUUUGAAAAUAAUUUUUUUUUUACUUCAAAUUAAUAUAUCUUAAUAUUUUUCAUAUCAUAUUGAUGUGUUAAUACUAAAAAUAAAAAAAAUUAUUCAAUAUAUUUCAAAGUAAAUAACACUAUAAAAAAACAACCACUACUACAAUACUUAAAAAUCAUGCUUUUUAAAGUGAUUGGGAGUUUUAUUGCCGUUACUUUUUAAAGUGCUUUUUAUUUAGAAAAGCAUGCUAAAAAUAUUUUUUUAUAUUUUAAAAAUUAUUUUUAAGAUUAACACAUCAAAAAAAUUUAAAAACAUAAAAAAACAUAUUAAUUUUAAAAAACAAAUUUAAAUUUUUUAAAAAACACUUUUCACCAACAAUGCGAAACACCCUCUAAUCCACUUUUAAGUUUGCAUGUCGACCAGAAUGAAAAUUUAAAAUCAUAUAGUUACUAUAAAAUUCAAAACGCUGUAUUUUCUUUUGCACCCACGUAUAAAAAGUAGCGGCAAGUAUGAGAAGGAAGGAGGAAUUGAGUUCAAAACUCACCUCUUUUUAGAGUUCAAAACACAUGCUAAAGACCUAUGAAUAUGUCACUGUACAUUCACAGGCAUUCAUUAUUCACCAAACAAUGGAUACCUUCCGUUACUGCUUGGACCAGAUUAGAUUUUGGAUUUACAAUUAUAAUCUUCUUAAGACAACAACAGGAGAGGAUGGCAGAGAGAAUAAAGAAAGAAGGAAAGCCCACCUCACAAUCUCACAUCAGUGCUUCUCACGCCAAAACAAUCACUAACUUCAGACCGAGAAUGUAUCAAAAAGGAAACAUAAAACAACUUCUCUGUCAAUCCCAUUAUCUUGAAUUUUAUAGCCCACCACAACCCUCUUGUUCCCUUUUCUUCACCUCCCAAGGUUCUCUGUUUUUUCUUAUCCUUUUAUAGCGCCAGGAGUUGAAUAUAGACCAUACACUGAUACAAAUGCAUGUAGUGUGUGUCUAUAUAUCUGAACUUCAAUCUUGAUUCUGUUUCUUGGGUCUCUUUUCUUUCCUUUUCUUUUUAUCUUGUUGGAAAGAUAGAGAUGGGGUUGAGAAGUGCUUGGUUAGUGGUGGUGUUUUUGUUUAUUGGGGUUGCUGUGGCAAAGAAUGUGAAUGGGUUGAAUGUAUGGCCAAUGCCGAAGCGGGUGUUGGGCGGAAUCCGGGGACCGGUGAUGUACUGAUAAUUGCUCAACAGAGGAAUAAGCACACAGACACAAUAAUUUACGUGGUUCGGCAAAACCGUCUACAUCCACGGGAAAGAUAAUAUUAUUUGAGGUAGAGAAAGAAUACAAUAAAUACAUGGAGGAGGAUAUAAUCACUCAACUCCCAUCUCACUCUCGUUGCCUUGCAGCUGCAGGGCUGCUGCCAUGGGCAGCAGCCCUUUCUCUUCUCUUUCUCUUCACCCUCACGUUAUUCACAACUCUCCCAAAGCUCUCUUUGUAUGGUGCCUAUUUAUAGGCAUGAUGGUGGCUUCUCUUCUUCUUUCCAGCAGCUGCAGCUGCAAUCAAUGGUGGCUGCCAUCUUCUUCAACAAAGGCUGCUGGUCAAUGUUUGGUGGGGGUUGGUGGUAGUGUAGAAUCAAUGGCAAUACCUAACAAUCACCCCCUUUGCCAUUUAUGUGGGCAAUUGUCCUCUUGCUUCUUCAGCACAAUCUUGCAUCCUGCAGCUCUUCCAAGCUUACCAUUCCGAGAGCGUCUCUGGCCAAGUUUACAGGUACUCGCCAAACCUUCCAAUCACCAGAGUCACUAAAGCACACCCUUGCUUACACCAAAGGAUCACUUUAACCAGAUGGUCUCACACAUCACAUCUGAAGAGUGUUAACGCUUGUCUCUGGGAACAUUCCCCUUCGAGCGUAUCAACCAUGCUCGGUCCGGAAUGAUUUAUCAAGCCUCACACCAAGGCUUACAACACCCCCUCAAACGGAUAUUCCAAGUGCGACAGUCAUUAUCUGAGUAUCUCAAUAUGAUCACAAGCCCACCACUCUUCCAAGAGUCUACUCAUCCAGGAGUUGCGCCUGCCCUCUGUUCCACCAUAGGAACCACGCCUUACUUCUCCGUGAGUCUCUCGCUCUUAGUCGUAAGAGUCCAGGUAGCUCUCCACCUUUAACCAUGGGGCAGCCCAUUAAAGGUUGAUCCAUUAUGUCUUCAUACUCUGAGUAUUACAAUGCCAUCACCGAGCUCACCACCUUGACAAGAGUCAACUCGUUCCGGAACCUGCGCAUGCCCUCUGCUCCUUCAUAGCAGUCGCGUCUUAAUGCUCCACAAGUCACACACUUAUUGUCCAAGGCAAAUGUCUUCUAGCUCAUUGAUCUUUAGCAUGGGGGCAAUAUCCAUGAAAGUCAAUCCUGCAUUUGUCUUCAUACUCAUCAUAGCCACUUCAUUGGCUAUCACCUGUCCACUUAUAUCAGCCAUCACAUCGGCUCUGGGGCGUUCUGUACUGGGCUCAUAUCUUGGCCCACACACCUUCUUCUCGGGUGUCUCCGCUCGUCGUCAUGCGGCGGUCUGAAAUGGGGCUCCUAUCGGCCCUCACACCUUCUCUAAGGUGUCUUCGCCUGUUGUCAUAGGCGUCUGAAUCUGGGGCUCUAUCAUGGCCCUCACACCUUCUCCUGAGGUUCUCCGCUCGUUGUGGAGCGGUCUCAUCCUCUUCAUCGGGAUGACUCCAGUGGCUCCAAGAUUCUCUACCACCAUGUGGACUUGGGAGAGAUUACAGCCACUGACUACAUAGAAAGAGAAAGUUACGGUAUACUCCUCGCAAUCCUCCACCUCGAUUUCUAUGUUUGGAGCUUCUAUGCCUUUCUGCUUGACAGCUCCACCUACACCAACUCUCUUUGGUGGCUUCGCCUUUCAUCAUAGGCGGUCGCCUUUUAUCACAAGCGUUUGUACCCCCUCAAUUAGGUGCCUCUGCAACAGCUCUCUUUCCAUCCUUGCAUGCAUUGGAAAGGUCUUCGUUUGUUGUCUUCAUCAAGAGCAUAAGAGACUUCCUGUUGUACAAACUUUAACAGUCUCUGCUCUGAGCUUCAUCUGGGAACACUUCUUCUCCUUGCACAUGUUGUCUCAUUACAGUACCUCGUUGGAUCCCUCGGGUACUCUUGCACAAUCUUCGUGUGCCCUCGUGCAAUUACUGUUCUCCAUAUUUCUCCCUAUUCCUUGCUUAUGUUUGACAGCAGCUCAUCCCGUCACAACACCUGUCCAAGUCAAAAUAGGGUGCCAAUCUUUAUCCCCUUGCUGUAUUUCUCUUCCAUUAUCAGGGUCUUCAUCAAUUCUCCCUUCGAGAAACACAGUCACCGAAUCUGCCUUCUUUGGAGAAAUCACCACUCCAUCAGAUCCUUGAUCAUGCGGAACCCAACUGUUCCCCUUGUGCCGUCAUCCUGCUAGUCUUCAACGUUUCAUUACAAACUGCUAUAUAUACGAAAAUAGUACCGUAUGGAUAAUCCUUCCACUAAGCAAGUUCCCAGGAAAGAUUGGAGGGGUCACAACGGUCCCGCUUAAAACCCAAUCUCCUAGACAGAACUUCUUAGGCCAUAUCUAUCCAUCGUACUGUCUCUCCGUAUAUACAACCAUUUGCUAGCUUUGUUGCGGCUUUCCUUUACAAGUGAUCUGGAAUAUACAGGUUUAAUACAUGAUUUCUCAACAUCUACGAGACUACCAGUGCUUAGAUUCGUCAAGAUUGGUCUUCGUCAAUUUCACUCUCCACCUCAAAUCGUCCACAUGACCGGGUGUCCAGAGUGUCCCAAUUUUUCCUUCCAUCAAGGCAUUAUAUUUCCCCAUUAAAUAGUUCAGCACAUGUAAUUGGGUAAACAUGUGCACCCUUUUCUUCUUCAUCUCCAUCGACCACCAUGAUGACCUUCAGAUGCCUCCUGAUCGGGCAAUCUCUCUUUAAUAAUUCACCACCGCCAUUUUUGGUCUCGAAUCUCAACGAUCGGACCGUACCAUUGCAUCUGGAAUGAUCAAAUUAGCUGGAAACAUGUCUUGAAUCGUCCAAAUCACACUUCAGACGGCUACGUUUUGAUCAAAACAAUUCUGGCCUGAUCAACGAUUCAGAUUCAAUCUCAGAUCCGGUUGCACGUAGACUCUGCUGCACAGAAUCCUAUCCCUCGGCUCGGCUCCAACUUGGCUCGGCUCGAGGCUGAUGACGUGGCCGGUGGGUCCCACUAUGCUGACAUGGUUGUUGACUGGUCAAUGCAUGCUGAUGCCAUCGUUACAUAAGGUUGAUGUCAUCCUCUGUAUGUUACUGCUCAUUAAGAUACUGUUCACUAUGGUACUGUUCAUAUAUGAUACUGUUCACAAUGGGUCGGGUCAACCCAUCCGGGUGAAGAAGACGCGUGGGGCGCGUCUGUGCGCGUGGGCAGACGCCUUGCCGGAGAGUGAUGGAGAGUGCGGCCAUGUCCGACGUCCGAUUUUGACGCCGUUUUCACCAAUGGCUUCGUCUCGUCCUCCUCUACACAGUGGAAUGGUCAAAACACCAUUUUGACAACUUGCAUUUUUGAGCAAAAAAUCAAACACCACUUUAAACCAUGUGCUCUGAUACCAAUUGUUGGGCGGAAUCCGGGGACCGGUGAUGUACUGAUAAUUACUCAACAGAGGGAUAAGCACACAGACACAAUAAUUUACGUGGUUCGGCAAAACCGUCUACAUCCACGGGAAAGAUAAUAUUAUUUGAGGUAGAGAAAGAAUACAAUAAAUACAUGGAGGAGGAUAUAAUCACUCAACUCCCAUCUCACUCUCGUUGCCUUGCAGCUGCAGGGCUGCUGCCAUGGGCAGCAGCCCUUUCUCUUCUCUUUCUCUUCACCCUCACGUUAUUCACAACUCUCCCAAAGCUCUCUUUGUAUGGUGCCUAUUUAUAGGCAUGAUGGUGGCUUCUCUUCUUCUUUCCAGCAGCUGCAGCUGCAGUCAAUGGUGGCUGCCAUCUUCUUCAACAAAGGCUGCUGGUCAAUGUUUGGUGGGGGUUGGUGGUAGUGUAGAAUCAAUGGCAAUACCUAACAGCGGGUGAGUAGAGGGCACAGCAGGGUUUACAUGAGUCAAGAUUUUCAGCUAGUUACUGAUGGGAGCAAGUACAUUGAUGGCUCUGAGAUUUUGAAGGAUGGAAUUACAAGAAUGCUUGAUGUAGUGAAAGUUGCUCAUGUUGUUGAUGGUGAUCUUUCUAGCGUAGACAAGUCUCUCAUCAUUAAAGGAAUUCGUGUUCUUAUUUUCUCAUCAGAUGACCAGGUAUGGAGUCAUUGGUUAUCAAUUAUCUUUCCAGUCAGAGCCUUUUCUUUUCUGAUUAUUACCUGAUCAGUUCAUUCACACGGGCCUAAAGAUUAAUGUUUUAAAGUCUGGGAAUGUGAUUCUUCUGAGCUAGGCUAAGAAGAAGUCAUGUUCUCCUUUUUCUUUCCACUUGUAUAAAAAUUUUCAUUAUCACCCGCUGACAACUUUUUUAAAAAAGUUGUUUUUUUUCCCGAUCUUGAAAUACAAAGUGAUGUGCAAUUUGAUAAUCCUUUUGUUUUAACUUAUUUUUCACUAAAUACAACAAUUAUUAGGAAGUAAUCAAGUAUGAGCUGUAGCUAUCAUUAAGUUUUAUUUAAACAACAAUCAAGGUUUUUUUUUUUGUGCAUUUUAGAUGAAAUCUAGAGAGCUCCUUCCUUUAAUUUAGAUUAAACAAACGCUCCUUCUUCCUGUAUUGUGGUGUGCUUUUACAGUUACAAUAUGGUGUUGCCGAGUCAUACAAACUGCUGGUUCCUUCACCAGAGAUGCCAGAUUACGUCCAUCUUGAGGUGGGUGCGCAACCACUACCUUUUAUCUUUUUAGCUGCUGUUUUGUUUAACAACUCACACCUGUCCAACUCAAUUGUAAUAAGUAUCUUUCUCAAGGAAGAUGUUCAAAUAGUAAGACUUGAAAGAAAAUGCUGCUGGAUUUUGUCUGACAUUUCCUAAAAUAGUUUUCAUAUAUUUAUGUUGAAAUGUAGCUUUGACAUAUUUGGAUGUGCCAUAUAGCCAGCGCAUUGACAAAUGUUUCCAGUCUCAAAGGAAUUAUUCGAUGUCCUAUCUAGAUUAGUGAACUUAAACCUAGUAUUUGCUUAAGAGACGGGUCAAUCAUGCAUUGUAGAGAACUAAUAACAUUAAAUCAUGUUUUAUAAAAUCUUCCACUAUCAUGAUUAUAAUCAAUGAUGGAGUGGGACCUUGCUGAAGCAUGGUUGUUUUUUUCAUAAUUUUUGAACUCAUGUUCUGUCGAGGCACCAAAUUGAUACAUUUAAUGGUCAAUGCUGAGUUUGGUCUACAUCAGUAAGCUUUGAUUCAUGUAAAUUGUUUGAUCAAUUCAAAUUCUGUCUGGCAACAUUACAGGCGCAGACUGUUUAUGGGGCGUUACAUGGGCUUCAGGUUUUAUACUAAUCCUUAAGACAUGAAAUUGUAUCUCUUUUGAUAUUCCUACCAAGUUCAAAAUUGUCUAAGUUUACAUGACAUUAAAUUUUGUAGACAUUCAGCCAAUUGUGUCAUUUUAAUUUUACAAGUAGACUGAUUGAAGUUCACAUGGUCCCGUGGACUAUCAUUGAUCAACCAAGAUUCUCUUAUCGAGGGCUCUUGAUUGGUGAGUUGUUUUCUGCAGUCCUUUUCUGUAAUAUGUUUAGUUUACUUUUGAUGUAUAUGUAUUUCAAAGGCCCUGCUGAGGGCUUUAUUCCAUGUACUAGCUUCUGGUUUGAUAAGGUUGGCAAUUACUACUGAAGGUUUUGAUGGGAAGAAAGUUUACUUCUUGUGAAAUGAAGUCUGGAGGGCUAUCCCAAGCUGACAUUGGGCCACUUGAAAAGCUUGAUGUCCAAUUGUUUGGUCGAUUCUGUUUUUAUAUCUCAAAUCCACUCUGUAUUUUCAAAUUCUAAUGUGCUUGUCUGACUUACAAGUGGAAUUUGUGCAGAUACAUCAAGACACUAUCAGCCAGUGCCAAUGAUUAAGAAAGUAAUUGAUUCCAUGGCCUAUGCAAAAUUGGUAUGUGAUGCAUAGUUAACUAAUCUAUAGUUGAGAAUCUUUUAGAAUAUUAGGUGAAAUAAAUACAUAUUUGUUCUAAUGUUUGCUGGAAAAUAAUCAUUUGUAUUUUGCUUUUAGCAUUGAAGGUAUAAGAGGUUUUCAUGAUCGCAUUUGUUGAGGAGUAUCAUCCCCUAUAUCUGUUCAUAACCAUUUGCUAGGAUUUAGUUUGCCUGAAUUAGCUUCUUCCUCUAUAGGGACAGCAAUGAAGUUUGGGAAAUCUUGCAUCCAUAAAAAGGAUAGGAAAUAGUAAUUUGCCCAGCAGUGUUUAAGCCUUGGAUCUUGCACCAGGAAACCUAUCCAACAUGAAAUGAGACAGAAAUUUGGCAACUGUCGCUUGAAUCCUUUUUGAACAGAAAAUGGUGUUAACACAACAAUUUACUGUAAUUAGCAGUUUGUUGAUACGGCUUACUUUGUAACAAGAUGUAAUGUUGUUUCACACUGACCUUACGUUGAUUUUUAUCAUCUAGCCUGUUGUAAGAACUCAGAUAGCUGUGGUAUUAAUCAUCUAGCUUGUUGUAUUAACAGAAUUAGUCGGGGAGAAGUGGAUUUUCCUUGCAGAAGGUGUUAGCAGGUCAAUAAAACUAUUGAAAAACAAUACCCGUCAUUGGCCUUUUAUGAUUUUAUUCUGUUGCAUAUGCAGAAUGUGUUGCACUGGCACAUUGUAGAUACCCAAUCGUUCCCUUUGGAGAUACCUUCAUAUCCACAUCUGUGGGAUGGGGCUUAUUCAGUUUCAGAGCGGUACACAUUUUCUGAUGCUGCUGAAAUUGUGAGGCAAGUGAUUCUGCUGUCUUCACCUUCUACAAACUUAUUGUCUAUGUAGUUUUUCAUCUCUUAUGUCAAGAAAAAAUUUGCAGUUAUGCUCAAAGGAGAGGAAUUAAUGUAUUAGCUGAACUUGAUGUUCCUGGACAUGCUCUCUCAUGGUAAUAGUAACAUCUCAUAUGGUGGUUUUCUUGUUGUCUCAGUUAUAUUCCUUUUAAAAAUUACUGUGUGUAUGAGAUCAGGAUGCAAACUUUUAACCCCAAAAUUGACACUUUUCAUUUUAAAAAAGAAUCUUAUCCUCUUCAAGUGAAUAAUGUCAGGAUUUGAAUUUUGAUCAUUCAUGCUUCUGCAAUAGCUACAGAAAAAUUCCCAGGAAAAGACUUUAUAGAUCAUGACUGGCUGAUGUAAUGACUGCCAUGUCUUUCCAGGUGUUGGGGGGAAUAUUUAUACAGCUUUCUAAUUUAGUUUUUGCAAGAUGCUAGAUAACAACAAUCUAUAUUUCUUAACGGAUAGAAUUUAAGAAUUCAUCGGAAUUAUCACAGAAUUAGGUAAUGUUCAAUCCAUGAGGAUGUGUAGAACAUUUUUUCAUAAGUCAAUAUGAGAAGCUGCCAUUGGUCACUUGACUUGAUGAUGAUGUGUCUUUCUGUUGACCUGUAUGAUUUCCCUAUAGAUGUUCUUCCUCUCAAACAAUAGAGUUGGGUACUUAUAACACCCUGCCAGCUUGUAUCCAAGAAAACUGCUUGUUUUCAAAAGUUUUGAGGUUAUAAAGAUGUUAUUUUAUGAGUAAUGCUGGCAAACCAAAAGGUUAUUUGUAGCUCAUGGAUCUAUUGCAGUUAGCCUCAGUGAACUUUCUGCAGAAGUGAUGAAUGCUAAUGGUUUUCAGGGCCAAACAUGAGAAGGAUUAAGGGCUAUUGUUUAGUGAUAUCUGGUGAAAGUCUAGGUUGGUGACCAAGGCAUUGUAGAUACGAGGCCUGGGGGUAGCCAUUUGAUGCAAAAUGCUGCAGCGCCGAACCAUUUUCAGAGUUCCUUUCCUAGGAUUGUACUUCUAUGGGACGACAAAUGGGCAAGCCUUUAUGGCUAACUCAGACUUCGGUGCAUAGUUUAGAUUGUCACGAAUUUGUGACUUUGUAUUUUAAAAACCUAUGGCAAGGCGGGUUCUGUAGGUUUCCCUUGUUGCCAAAAGAUGCAAACUCACAAAAACAAUAAAAAUAUUUGACGUUUUCCAUUUCUUUGCAAUAUGGCCAUUAUGAUAGAAUGGUAUCACAAACUAUGAUCUCCAAAUGACUUAAAUGGAUAUUUUUCCCCUGUAAUUAGGGGGCAUGGCUAUCCUUCUCUAUGGCCAUCAAAAGACUGUCAGCAGCCACUUGAUGUCAGCAAUGAGUUUACAUUCAAAGUGAUAGAUGGGAUUCUUUCAGGUAAUGCCUGCACUUUCAAUUUGGAACAGUGUGGUUUGAUAUCAAUAAGUUUUCAUGUCAGAAGACUAAGAAAAUAUAUUUAAAUUUGCAAGUUAUCUUAAUUUGGGUGAAAACAAAAAUGAAAGGAUGAAAGGUUAACAUGAUUACUUUUUUCACGUUCAGAUUUCAGUAAGAUCUUUAAAUUCAAGUUUGUUCACUUGGGAGGUGAUGAAGUUGACCCAAGUAAGUUCAAUAGUUAUAUUUUGCUAUCACCAUUUUUGUAUUAAUUGUUUAUUGUUCAUGGAACUUUUUUUUUUUAUUAUUAUUAUGUUCCUUGGCCUCUGGGGAUUUUCUUUCCUUUUAUCAUAUCUUUUCUUCUUUUAUUUUUGGGUGUAUGUGUUGAAACAUGAUAUUUGAUGUUAAUGAAAAUAUAGGGGCCGCAGGUUACUUGCUUCCGUUUGCUCUUAAUUUUUGAAAUAUAUAUCUAUGGAGCUUCACAUUAUUGACAUGCAACUUUAUGAGUCUUUUUCAGGUUGCUGGACAACAACUCCCCACAUAACAAAAUGGUAACAAUCCCACGAAUUCUACAUGCAAAGUAACUGAUGUUUCUUUUCUUCUCUUUUUUUCUGUAGACACCGAGUAUAUCACAUUAUUAUCUUCAUGCUUGAUGUCCACAACCAUAUUUUCCUCCUUUUGUAGUUAAUCCAUGUGGAUUUACGUGGGUACUGUGUGUUUGCUGUACAUGACAUCACCGUUACAUUCUAUGCCAAUGUUAUUUUAUGAUUACCGCUAUUAUUGAUUUCCUGAGAAAUAACUAGCAUGUCAGACUCACAGCUAUUUCUUUUAGUUUUUGUUUUUCUCCCAUUGCAUGUAACUUGAAAGAGCAUGCAAUUGUAACAAAAGAGAGAGGGCAUGUAAAUUGUAUUCGUAUUGUAUGUUGUUUGACCUUCAUCUUUUUGCAGAAUUGCAUUCUGACUAUUCUGAAACCUGCAGGUUAAAAGAGCAUCGAAUGAAUGGAUCUCAAGCUUAUCAGUACUUUGUCUUGCGGGCACAGAAAAUAGCUUUGUCCCAUGGAUUUGAAAUAGUUAACUGGUACGAACAAUUCUGGAUAAGGUUAGAUAUCAAAUUUCACUGGUUUUAUAUCUUAUCCAAUCGUGCAAUGAAACAGGGAGGAGACCUUCAAUGACUUUGGAAAUAAAUUGAGCCGGAAGACUGUGGUGCAAAAUUGGUAUGCCAUACUUUCUGCAUAAUUUCAUAAAAUGACCUUGUUAUGAUGCAUCUUAACAUGGCCACCCUGUAGAUCAGUAGAUGAACAAAUAUGAGCAUCAUUUAUCCAUGAUGCAACCGUCUAUUUGCUUGUUGGACUUGUAGUAUUGAGAGACUAGAAUCAAGAUUAUAUAAAAAAUGGGAAAAGCUCCCCUGUGCAGAAUAUGAAUUUUGGUUAAUCGAUACAGCUAAACUUGACUUGAUAAGGGUGUUAAGAUGUUUUAGUCCAUCUGCAAUGCUAAUUGUGACAAGUAAUUUUUAUAUGCUAGAAAAAGUCAAAUGUAGUAGUUGGUAAAGAGUGUUGUUCUCGCUACUAUUCAUUCUCACUACUUAAAUAUUUGCUAGUUCUGAAGAGUGACAUCUGGUUCACCUGGUCCAAGUCCAUUAAUGUUUAGAUGAAAACUUCAGGAACUCUUUCUCUUUGUGAAUUAUUGUUGAACCAACAAUUAAAAUUACUGUAGAUAUUAGACAAUCAGUGAACAUUGUUGAGUUAAUUACACUAUGUAAACAAAAAUGUUCUGGACACCUUUUCCACCAAGCAAAUAGAUCUUAGAGAUGAUUGUAUUUGCACUGCCAUAAUAAUUUUGUCUGUCCUUGUAUUUCGGGCACACUUGAUCUUUAGCAUACAAUUUUCUUUGCAGGCUUGGAGUUGGAGUUGCUGCGCAAGUGGUUGCAUCUGGGUUGAGGUGCAUUGUGAGCAACCAGGACAAAUGGUAUCUAGAUCACUUGAAUAUUCCUUGGGAAGAGUUCUAUAAGAAUGAACCACUUACAAAUAUAACAAACCCCGAGCAACAGAGUUUAGUUCUUGGGGGGGAAGUAUGCAUGUGGGGAGAAACAGUGGAUGCGUCAAACAUUGAACAAACCAUAUGGCCACGUGCUGCAGCUGCUGCAG